rnacentral:rRNA from 1 species
CGCCUCCAGAAACACAUGCAUUGGAGGUACUGCCUGCCCAGUGAACAUUAUUUUAACGGCCGCGGUAUUCUGACCGUGCAAAGGUAGCAUAAUCACUUGUCCUCUAAAUAAGGACUAGUAUGAAUGGCAAGACGAAAAAUCAACUGUCUCCUUUAUUUCAUCAAUGAAAUUGAUCUCCUUGUACAAAAGCAAGGAUAAUAAUAUAAGACGAGAAGACCCUAUGGAGCUUAAAACACGCCAACAACUACAACAAAUAAAUUAAUUAUGUUUUAGCUGUUUUCGGUUGGGGCGACCACGGAGAACACCAAACCUCCGAAAAAAACAAAGAAUACACCUCUAUGUGAUAGAUAAUCUAAAACUUGACCCAAUAAACUUGAUCAACGGACCCAGUUACCCUAGGGAUAACAGCGCAAUUUUCUCAAAGAGUCCCUAUCGACGAGAAAGUUUACGACCUCGAUGUUGGAUCAGGAUAUCCAAACAGUGCAGCCGCUGUAAAAGGUUUGUUUGUUCAACAAAUAAAAUCCU